CGCUUAUUCCAGCGUCAGCGUCAGUUUGUCAGAUUUGUUUUGUUUUCAUUCCUGUUCGUUUCAGGUUUCUGCGUCGGCAAAAGUUUUUAGUUUUUUCUUUCAAUCUGACCGUGAUUGCUGAUUAAAGGAAACAACAACAACAGAGCGCAUAGUUGGGGCCCAAUUUUCUGCUGUCUUAUUGCACCAGCCGUGAUUUCCGUCGUCGGGAGAAUCGUCAAAAAUUAACCAGUAUUUGAAAGUUGAAGAUCGGUGUAAGUGGUGUUAUUCAAUCAAAAAGUGUGAUCAAAGUUCAAUAAAAGUUUUUUUUCUGCCUCCAGUGA